UACAGAGGUCUCAAGCGUUGUUCGGAUUCAUUGGGCGUAAAGGGUGCGUAGGCGGCGCGGUAAGUCGGGUGUGAAAUCUCGGGGCUUAACUCCGAAACUGCAUUCGAUACUGCCGUGCUUGAGGACUGGAGAGGAGACUGGAAUUUACGGUGUAGCGGUGAAAUGCGUAGAUAUCGGGAGGAACACCUGAGGCGAAGGCGGGCUACUGGGCCGAUACUGACGCUGAUGUGCGAAAGCCAGGGGAGCGAACGGG
rnacentral:rRNA from 1 species